CUACUAACCACAGCAAAUUCUGCUAACAUAUGAAAGCCUUUAUCAUUUUAAUGCGUUAAAUCUUUAUGGACAGUAAUAUUUCACUUUAUAAAAGACAAGUUAUCAAAUGCAUUGGAUGUCCCAGUACAACAUUUGGUACUGACAUUGAUAUUUUUAUUCUUCAAAAUUACUCCUGGCUCCUUACUUCAGUUCUGAAAAGUGUAUGGCUGUUUCGCUCUGCAUUAGAGCUCAUCAGCAUGCCUGGGAAACACCGAAGAUUAAUG